UACGUAUGGACCGAGCGUUGUCCGGAAUCAUUGGGCGUAAAGGGUACGUAGGCGGUCUAGUAAGUUAGAAGAGAAAGGCAUUAGCUCAACUAAUGUAAGCUUUUAAAACUGCUAGACUUGAGAGAUUGAGGGGAAAGUGGAAUUCCUAGUGUAGCGGUGUAAUGCGCAGAUAUUAGGAGGAAUACCAGUGGCGAAGGAGACUUUCUGGCCAUAAACUGACGCUGAGUUACGAGAGCGUGAGUAGCAAACAGG
rnacentral:rRNA from 1 species